ensembl:snRNA U6 U6 spliceosomal RNA
GCAUGCCUCAACAACACAAAUACUAAAAUUUGAGCAGUUCAGAGAAAAUUAGCAUGGCACCUCUGCAAGGAUGAUAUGCACAUUUGUGUAUCAUAUUUUU